rnacentral:rRNA from 1 species
AGACCCGAAACCCGGUGAUCUAGCCAUGGGCAGGUUGAAGGUUGGGUAACACUAACUGGAGGACCGAACCGACUAAUGUUGAAAAAUUAGCGGAUGACCUGUGGCUGGGGGUGAAAGGCCAAUCAAACCGGGAGAUAGCUGGUUCUCCCCGAAAGCUAUUUAGGUAGCGCCUCGUGAAUUCAUCUCCGGGGGUAGAGCACUGUUUCGGCUAGGGGGCCAUCCCGGCUUACCAACCCGAUGCAAACUGCGAAUACCGGAGAAUGUUAUCACGGGAGACACACGGCGGGUGCUAACGUCCGUCGUGAAGAGGGAAACAACCCAGACCGCCAGCUAAGGUCCCAAAGUCAUGGUUAAGUGGGAAACGAUGUGGGAAGGCCCAGACAGCCAGGAUGUUGGCUUAGAAGCAGCCAUCAUUUAAAGAAAGCGUAAUAGCUCACUGGUCGAGUCGGCCUGCGCGGAAGAUGUAACGGGGCUAAACCAUGCACCGAAGCUGCGGCAGCGACACUGUGUGUUGUUGGGUAGGGGAGCGUUCUGUAAGCCUGUGAAGGUGUGUCGUGAGGCAUGCUGGAGGUAUCAGAAGUGCGAAUGCUGACAUAAGUAACGAUAAAGCGGGUGAAAAGCCCGCUCGCCGGAAGACCAAGGGUUCCUGUCCAACGUUAAUCGGGGCAGGGUGAGUCGACCCCUAAGGCGAGGCCGAAAGGCGUAGUCGAUGGGAAACGGGUUAAUAUUCCCGUACUUGGUGUUACUGCGAAGGGGGGACGGAGAAGGCUAUGUUGGCCGGGCGACGGUUGUCCCGGUUUAAGCGUGUAGGUGUGUGUUCCAGGUAAAUCCGGUUCACUUUAACACUGAGGCGUGACGACGAGGCACUACGGUGCUGAAGCAACAAAUGCCCUGCUUCCAGGAAAAGCCUCUAAGCAUCAGGUAACAUCAAAUCGUACCCCAAACCGACACAGGUGGUCAGGUAGAGAAUACCAAGGCGCUUGAGAGAACUCGGGUGAAGGAACUAGGCAAAAUGGUGCCGUAACUUCGGGAGAAGGCACGCUGACACGUAGGUGAAGUGAUUUACUCAUGGAGCUGAAGUCAGUCGAAGAUACCAGCUGGCUGCAACUGUUUAUUAAAAACACAGCACUGUGCAAACACGAAAGUGGACGUAUACGGUGUGACGCCUGCCCGGUGCCGGAAGGUUAAUUGAUGGGGUCAGCGCAAGCGAAGCUCCUGAUCGAAGCCCCGGUAAACGGCGGCCGUAACUAUAACGGUCCUAAGGUAGCGAAAUUCCUUGUCGGGUAAGUUCCGACCUGCACGAAUGGCGUAAUGAUGGCCAGGCUGUCUCCACCCGAGACUCAGUGAAAUUGAACUCGCUGUGAAGAUGCAGUGUACCCGCGGCAAGACGGAAAGACCCCGUGAACCUUUACUAUAGCUUGACACUGAACAUUGAGCCUUGAUGUGUAGGAUAGGUGGGAGGCUUUGAAGUGUGGACGCCAGUCUGCAUGGAGCCGACCUUGAAAUACCACCCUUUAAUGUUUGAUGUUCUAACGUGGACCCGUUACCCGGGUUGCGGACAGUGUCUGGUGGGUAGUUUGACUGGGGCGGUCUCCUCCUAAAGAGUAACGGAGGAGCACGAAGGUUGGCUAAUCCUGGUCGGACAUCAGGAGGUUAGUGCAAUGGCAUAAGCCAGCUUGACUGCGAGCGUGACGGCGCGAGCAGGUGCGAAAGCAGGUCAUAGUGAUCCGGUGGUUCUGAAUGGAAGGGCCAUCGCUCAACGGAUAAAAGGUACUCCGGGGAUAACAGGCUGAUACCGCCCAAGAGUUCAUAUCGACGGCGGUGUUUGGCACCUCGAUGUCGGCUCAUCACAUCCUGGGGCUGAAGUAGGUCCCAAGGGUAUGGCUGUUCGCCAUUUAAAGUGGUACGCGAGCUGGGUUUAGAACGUCGUGAGACAGUUCGGUCCCUAUCUGCCGUGGGCGCUGGAGAACUGAGGGGGGCUGCUCCUAGUACGAGAGGACCGGAGUGGACGCAUCACUGG